AAUGUGAAAAUUUGGAAGGAUUGUGAUUUAACGACUACUAACAUGUCGACAUCGUCGAUCGCGCAACGCUCGUGAAUGUCAGGAAGACAGAAGAACGCAGAUAUAAUAGCUAGAGGCACUGUUCUGCUGACCUACUCCACGAUUAUCACUCACUACAGUCGAUCGUGUCGUCGUCGUAAGCCAACUACAGAAAAGGAGGACGCACUCCGCGGGGACUUAAUCAAAUAAACGGAGCUAUUUUAUUCA
rnacentral:lncRNA from 1 species